UUCCUAGGGUUGGAUUUAGACCGGCAUGACACCUUCAUUUCAAGAGAAACUUGGCCUGGAGGGACACCAGGUAACCCUGAUGACUCUGGGCUGACUUGCUCUGGAUUCACAUAGGAUCUGGAUCUGGGCCACUGGGGACUUGUGGUUCCCUCAGGGGUGGAUGGUCAGGGGAGCCUUCCAGUAGCCUACUGGCUUCUGUUGGGCCUGGUCUCCUGGCCUCUUCCUGUGUCCACUGCAGUGGGAAGAGUAUGCGUUUGGGAUGUGUUAGUUUGUGUCUCUUCUAUUGUUUGAUUGUUCACCAUGAUCCCCACAACCCCCAUGGUAAAUCUGGGGUGCUAUUUUUUUCUCCAGCCCUCAGAGUGAAACUUCUUCCUUGUCUGAGAGAUCCUUGCUGUUGCCCCAGACCUCAGGGCUCCUUCCCCAGUUCGUUGGCCCUGGUUGUUACUUGGCACUGGAUGGGAGAGGGCAUCUUGAGUUCCUGGCAUCCUGAGUGUUAUGUCUUGUUAAUAUUAGCCCUGUCACCACAGGAACUAUCCCCUUAAGACUUAUUAACAGCUGUCCUCUAGGAGAAUGGCAGAAGGGGAGUUGGCCAGUUCUGAAGCCCACAUCCCUCUGUAGGUCAAGGGACAUACUUCCUAAGGCUCUUCAAUACAGUUGUCUGGACAGAGGAUCCAAGAUGGCUGAUGAGGACCCCCCGGGAGGUGGGGCAGCCCUGGUGUUCAUAGCUCCAGCUGACUAUGGAGAGGGCAUCGCUGGAUAGAACUGAGAUGGUGCCAGGCUCCAGAGGAUCUGCUGCCCACCUGGCCUGCCCUGGCUGUUAGUUUCGCCGGACUGGAUGCCACAUGGACACAGGCCUGCGCAGUGUGGCCAGCAUCUGGUUCCAGUGUGUGGUGCCCAUGCCGCUGGCCCCUGGCCCAAUAAUGACAUGGCCCACGUUGUCCCCACGGCCGUCGCUGCUGCUCUCAGCUACUGUCACUCGGAGAGACAGGUCCUGGGGAGAAGGUGACAUGAAAGAUUGGGACCAGGAGCAGCUGAAGGGUUCUCCCUGGUUCCAAGGCUCCAAGGCCCUGUGAGGCGCGCGCGGCUCUUUGAAUCUUCCCGUCUGACUUGGAAGGAGAGACUUGUCCUAGUUACUUCCAGAUGGAUAGCCAGCUAUGAUGUGACCUCACUAAGUGCUAAAAAGUGACAGUCCCAGCAGGAUUAUAAAAAUCCAUCUCUCACUUCUCUGUCCCUAGACAUUUUUUUCUUUAGGAUUUAUUUUUGAGUUUGAAAAGAUGGGUCAGCAAUUAAAUACACUUGCUGCUCUUGCAGAAGACCUCGGUUUGAGUCUCAGCCCCUACAUGUUGACUCAGUAACUUGAGGGUAUCUGAACUCUCUUUGUGGGCAUCUGGCACACAUGUUAUGUACAGACAUACAUGCAAGCAAAGUACCCAUACUUGUAAAAUAAUAAAAACCUUAAAAAGA